rnacentral:rRNA from 1 species
UGCCAGCAGCCGCGGUAAUACGGAGGGGGUUAGCGUUGUUCGGAAUUAUUGGGCGUAAAGUGUAUGUAGGUGGACUGGAAAGUAUGGGGUGAAAUCCCAGGGCUCAACCCUGGAACUGCCUCAUAAACUAUCAGUCUAGAGUUCGAGAGAGGUGAGUGGAAUUCCGAGUGUAGAGGUGAAAUUCGUAGAUAUUCGGAGGAACACCAGUGGCGAAGGCGGCUCACUGGCUCGAUACUGACGCUGAGGUGCGAAAGUGUGGGGAGCAAACAGGAUUAGAUA